rnacentral:rRNA from 1 species
GGGCUUGGAUGGCGGAGGCGACGGAAUCGCGGUACCUGACCUUUUGCUGUAGGGUCACUAACGCGUGACACCCGUCGAUGAUCCCCCGGCGUCCGGUCUUCCUGGCGAUGCUGCAACUUCGCCCUGAAGCACAAAACACGCAACGCCGCCCGCACGGGGUCUCGCCUUACAACUUAAAAAACGAUAUUAACGACAUAAAACGGGAAUGACAAUACAAACAACGCGCAAAGAUUGUGGAGUCUCGCGGGUUGCUCUCUCCACGCGAGGAGCAACACCAGGACUCUUUGCUCCCUCGGCGGGGCUAUCGCCCUUGUGACGGCGCUCGAAAAGCGUCACGUCACACAACUGUCGAUGGUAGGUUCUGCGCCUACCAUGGUUGUAACGGGUAACGGGGAAUCAGGGUUCGAUUCCGGAGAGGGAGCCUGAGAAACGGCUACCACAUCCAAGGAAGGCAGCAGGCGCGCAAAUUACCCACUCCCGGCACGGGGAGGUAGUGACGAAAAAUAACGAUACGGGAUUCAUCCGAGGCCCCGUAAUCGGAAUGAGUACACUUUAAAUCCUUUAACGAGGAUCCAUUGGAGGGCAAGUCUGGUGCCAGCAGCCGCGGUAAUUCCAGCUCCAAUAGCGUAUAUUAAAGUUGUUGCGGUUAAAAAGCUCGUAGUUGAAUCUGUGUCGCACACCGUCGGUUCACCGCUCGCGGUGUCUAACUGGCGUGAUGUGGGACGUCCUACCGGUGGGCUUAGCCCCGCGAGGGGCGACCCAACUAAUAUCCCGUCGCGGUGCUCUUUACUGAGUGUCGAGUCGGGCCGAUACGUUUACUUUGAACAAAUUAGAGUGCUUAAAGCAGGCUACCUUCGCCUGAAUACUGUGUGCAUGGAAUAAUGGAAUAGGACCUCGGUUCUAUUUUGUUGGUUUUCGGAACCCCGAGGUAAUGAUUAAUAGGGACAGAUGGGGGCAUUCGUAUUGCGACGUUAGAGGUGAAAUUCUUGGAUCGUCGCAAGACGGACAGAAGCGAAAGCAUUUGCCAAAAAUGUUUUCAUUAAUCAAGAACGAAAGUUAGAGGUUCGAAGGCGAUCAGAUACCGCCCUAGUUCUAACCAUAAACGAUGCCAGCUAGCGAUCCGCCGAAGUUCCUCCGAUGACUCGGCGGGCAGCUUCCGGGAAACCAAAGCUUUUGGGUUCCGGGGGAAGUAUGGUUGCAAAGCUGAAACUUAAAGGAAUUGACGGAAGGGCACCACCAGGAGUGGAGCCUGCGGCUUAAUUUGAC